rnacentral:rRNA from 1 species
GCAGCAGUGGNGAAUAUUGCACAAUGGGCGAAAGCCUGAUGCAGCGACGCCGCGUGCGGGAUGACGGCCUUCGGGUUGUAAACCGCUUUCAGCAGGGAAGAAGCGAAAGUGACGGUACCUGCAGAAGAAGCGCCGGCUAACUACGUGCCAGCAGCCGCGGUAAUACGUAGGGCGCGAGCGUUAUCCGGAAUUAUUGGGCGUAAAGAGCUCGUAGGCGGUUUGUCACGUCUGCUGUGAAAGCCCGAGGCUCAACCUCGGGUGUGCAGUGGGUACGGGCAGACUAGAGUGCAGUAGGGGAGACUGGAAUUCCUGGUGUAGCGGUGAAAUGCGCAGAUAUCAGGAGGAACACCGAUGGCGAAGGCAGGUCUCUGGGCUGUUACUGACGCUGAGGAGCGAAAGCAUGGGGAGCGAACAGGAUUAGAUACCCUGGUAGUCCAUGCCGUAAACGUUGGGCACUAGGUGUGGGGGACAUUCCACGUUUUCCGCGCCGUAGCURACGCAUUAAGUGCCCCGCCUGGNGGAGUACGGCCGCAAGGCUAAAACUCAAAGGAAUUGACGGGGGCCCGCACAAGCGGCGGAGCAUGCGGAUUAAUUCGAUGCAACGCGAAGAACCUUACCAAGGCUUGACAUGGACCGGAUCGCUGCAGAGAUGCAGUUUCCCUNUCGGGGUCGGUUCACAGGUGGUGCAUGGUUGUCGUCAGCUCGUGUCGUGAGAUGUUNGGGUUAAGUCCCGCAACGAGCGCAACCCCUAUCCUAUGUUGCCAGCACGUAAUGGNUGGGGAC